UUUGUCUUUUAAAUUGGGACUAGUAUGAACGCGCACCACAUCUUUUAACUGUCUCCUUUCUCCCCAUUAAAAACUCCUAUUAACGUGAAGAAGCAUUAAUAAAAAAGAAAGACGAGAAGACCCUGUCGAGCUUCAACUUCCUAAGAAAUUUUUCUAAAAAACAAAAAUCUUAUACAAAGUUUUGGUUGGGGAAACCAUGGAGAAUAAUUAUCCUCCAGUUAUACAAUAAAGAUUAUUAAUCAAUUUAAAAUUUCUAGAACCAGAAACCUGAUAUACAGAAAUAGUUACCGCAGGGAUAACAGCGUUAUCUUCUUUAAGAGUUC
rnacentral:rRNA from 1 species